CAAACUCCUCAUUCCUCCCUACCCCUAACUCCUGACAACCAAUAUUCUGCUUUCUGUCUCUAUGAAUUUGCCUAUUGUAGGUACCUCAUAUAAGUGGAAUCAUACAGUAUUGUCCUUUUGCAUCUGGCUUAUUUCACUUAGCCUAAGGUACUCAUGGUUCAUCCAUGUUGUAGCAUGUGUCAGAAUUUCCUUCCUUUUUAAGGCUGACUUAUGGGCAUACAUCAUUUUGCUAACCCAUUCAUCUGUUGAUAGACACAUGGUUUUCUUCUAUGUUUUAGCUAUUGGGAAUAAUGCUGCCAUAAAUUUGGGUGUACUAUUUCUUUGAGACCCUGCUUUCAGUUCUUUUGGGUGUAUACUCAGAAGUGGAAUUACUGGAUCAUAUGGUAAUUCUAUAAUUUUUUUUCUGAGAACCUGCCAUACUACUUCCCACAGUGGCAGCACUGUUUUACGUUGCCACCAACAGUGCACAAGAGUGCCAACUUCUCUGCAUCCUUGCCAACACUUAUUUUCUGUUUUUUGACAGUAGCCGUUUUCAAUGAAUAUUUAUUUAGCUCUUACUAUGUGCCAAUCACUGUUCUACAUGUUUGGGUCACAUCAGAGAAUGAAGUAGACUAUGGUAUUUAGAAACAAGAUCAGGCACUAAAUGUGCUUGUUGCUUUCUUACUUGUGUGUCUUUUUAGCGGGACAGAUCUUGGAAUUAUACAUAUGUAUACUCCGCCAUGCAAACACAAACAUCAAUAUUUAUUUAAAAACUGAGUUGGAUAAUGAUACUUCUGACUCCGGUUCACACCCCUAACCUAUGCCCUUGUGAGAAACUAAUUUAUUAAUUAAAACACAGAAUUUGUUUUAUUCAUUUGUAAUAUAGUUAAAUUCAUUUAUUACAAUUUGUAUUCCAUUUUGGGUUUCUCCCAUAUUGUGGUUGAUUUCUUUUAAGUUUACACUCAGUAAAAAUCACUCUUUGUGGUGUACAGUUUUAUGGGUUUUGACAAAUGGAUAGAGUCGCAUAUCCACCCUGCAUCAUGACUUAGAAUGGUUCUGCCACUCACAAAAUCCACUUCUAUUGCCGGCUUUGUAGUUAAAGCUACCCUCUCCCCACGCCUGGCCUCUGGAGCCCUCUGAUUUGUUUUCCAUCCAUAUAGUUUGUGAACCUGUGUUUUCAUUUCUCAAGGGUUAAUAUAUAUUUACCUUUAUUAGAUGCAGCCAAACUACUUUCUAGAGUGGCUUUAACAUUUUCCAUUUCUACCAACAAUAUGUGAGAGAUCUGUUUUAUAUCCUCAUCAGUACUUGGUACUGCUUGUAUUUUUAUUUUAAUCAUUUUAAUAAGAGUGUAAUACUUCAUUGAGUUUCUUUUUGAGAUGGGAUGGUGUUAUGUUGCCCAGGCUUCCUGGGCUCAGUGACUACUGAUGUUGGACAUUUCUUCAAAUGCUCAUUUGACACUUUCUUUGGUGAAGUGCUCUUUAGAUCUUGUCCGUUUUCAUAUGGGGUUGUUUUAUCUUAUUUGAUGGUGCUUUAUGAAAAGCAAAAGUUUUUAAUUUUGAUAGAGUCCAUUUAUUAAUGUUUAAUUUAUAGGUGGUGUUUUUGGUCCUUUAUAUUUCUGUCUGUGAUACAUUUUGAGUUAAUAUUUGUGUAUGAGUUGUGAGACAAGGGGCUAAUACCAUGUCCUGAUCAUUGAAGUUCUGUAGUUAGUUUUCAAAUCAAGCAGGUGUAAAUACCCUGACUUUUUUCUUUCUGUGGAUGGAAACUUAGGUUGAUUUCAUAUCUUUAGAUUUAAUUUUUGGGGAAAUAGCCAUACCGUUUUCCAUAAUGACUGUAGUAAUUUACAUUCCCAACAAUAGUGUGCAAAGAUUCCCAUUUCUCCACGUCCUCACCAACAUUUAUCUUUUCAUAUACUUUUUGGCCAUUUGUAUGUCUUCUUUUGAGAAAUGGCUAUUUAGGUCUUUUGUCCAUCUUUAAAAUCAGGUUAUUUGUUUUUUAGCUAAGGUUGUCUCUUCACUCUUGAUUGUUUCCUUUGCUGUGAAGGAUAUUUUUUAGUUUGCUGUAAUCCUAUUUGUCUAUUUUUGCUUUUGUUCCUUGUGCUAUUGGCCUAAUUUAUGAAUUUAUUUCUGGGCUCUCUAUCCUGUUCCAUUGGUUCGUGCCUGUUUUUAUGCCAAUACUAUGAUGUUUUGAUUACUAUAGCUUUGUAGUACAUUUUAAAGUUGAACAAUAUGAUGCCUUCAGAAUUAUUAUUAUUUUUUUUCCUCAAGAUUGUUUUGGCUAUUCUGGGUCUUUUGUGGCUCCAAAUUUUAGGAUUGUUUUUACUAUUUCUGUGAAAAAUGUCAAUGGAAUUUUGAUAGGUUUUGCAUUGAAUCUAUAGCUCACUUUGAGUAGUAUAAAUAUUUUAAUGGCAUUGUUUUCUUAAUCUCAUUUUUGUAUAGUUUGUGGUUAGGAUAUAGAGAUACAUUUGACUUUUUGAUCUUGUAGGCUGCAAUCUUGCUAAACUUUUAGUCCAUUUUGCUGUGUUGCUGUGUCAUCCCAUGGUGGAAGGUGGAAGGCAACAAGAGCAUGUGCAAAAGAACAAGAGGGUGCUGAACUCACUUUAUAACAAACCUACUUUUGAGAUAACCAAUCUACUCCCAUGAUAAUGACAUUAAUCCGUUCAUGAGGGCAGAGCCCUCUUAGUAGGCCCUAACUCCCCAUACUGUUGCAUUGGGGGUUCAGUUUCCAAUACAUGAACUUUGGGGGACACAUUCAAACCAUAGCAACUUGCUUUUCAGUUCUAAUUGGCUUUUAUUAUUUUUGCAGAUUCAUUAAGAUUUUAUACAUACAAGAUCAUGUCAUAUAUGAAUAAAGUUUUACUUUUUCCUUUCUAAUCUACGUGCCUUUGAAUUAUUUUUGCCUUAUUGCACUGACCAGAACCUACAGUAAAAUGUGGAAUAGAAGAGGUGAGACAACUUUUUUUCCUGUUCCAGAUCUUAUGGGGGAUAGCAUUCAGUCUUUCCUCAUUAAGUAUUAUGUUAGCUGUAGGACUUUCCCACAGAUGCAUUUAUAAGACUGAGGAAAUUCUCGGCUGGGUGUGGUGGCUCACGCCUGUAAUCCCAGCACUUUGGGAGGCCGAGGCGGGUGGAUCACCCCAGGUCAGGAGUUCAAGACCAGCCUGGGCAACAUGGUGAAACCCUG
rnacentral:lncRNA from 1 species